CGCAUACCCUGCAUUCCACCGAAUCUACUUUUUAAAUUUUGUAGAAGUGGGAUCUUAAAGGUAGAUGCCCUGUGAUGAUCCCAACAAUGUUAUUAAGCUCUCUUUUACCUAGAAGUAGGAGCUUUUUGGUCUGCCCACCAACAACAAUACCCCAAAGUAACUUUGUGGUUGCCCUGUGUUGCUUGUCUUCUAACACCUGAGACGUUCCUCUAGAGUAAAAUUGUCUCAAACAACCUUUGAAGGAGCUGAAUGACCUGGGCCUGCCUAAGAUAACUGUAUCUUUAGCUGAGACAUACAUAAUGGACGAUCUUAAAGUUCUCCUUGUAAAAUAGAAUUAAUUCAAAGACCAAAAUGACCCAAAGCAAGGGAGUUAGGAUGCCUCCUUACGGGCUGCCAUAAUUUAUCCUACAAGUUAUUUUUGUACCUUCCCCAAUUUAUGUAUAUACAUAUGUAGCUUUUUCAUUGCUUAGAAAGUGACUUAACCAGGUUAGCAAGUUCAGAUUAAUGUCAAACGAAGAAAUAGCCGAUAUCAGAGCAGCUGUACUAGCGUUGUUAAAUGCACUUUUCACGUCAAUGAAUACCGCUAGGAUGAAGUCUCGUUUCACUAAGGAAAUUUAGAUUAUACCAACUACUUCACGCAGAGCGGUGUCAUCUCAUCGAUUUCCCAUUGAAGUAGGCGUGCAGCCUGAACUCCAAACGGUUAAGUGGGGCUGAUCGAUCUAUACGAUUUUGCAAGGAGUAGUUUUUCUUUUCCGUCGGUUUCGGAACUUUGGCCUCCUAUCACCUACUGAGUGUGUAUUCUAAAUGGACACAGACACUAUUAAAUACUUUGGUAACCAUUUCUUGGGUAAUGAUAUGACAGGUUGGAAAUGUCUAGCAUGCGACCGUGGGAAAUAAAUAUGUAAUACUAUUUUUUACAGAAUCCGCCAUGUUACGUGCCUUGCACCCUUGGCUGUCAACAAUUGAUUCCGAUAAUUUUUUUUUUUAAUUUUUGCCGUACAAUUUACGCUGUCUACUUGACUACAGAAUAAACCCCACGAGCUGCGUUUUGUUAUUCUGAGUUUGUGUUCGUAUUCACGAAUCGCUUAGCUUUAUUAAAAGCCCUAUGAGAGUUCCGUCGAAGGUUUAUUUGUUCCCUAUGGCCAUACUUUUGGCUUGAAUAUGUUAUGAUUGCUUUAGCUUAAUCCAGUUACCCGGCAUUCAUAGGUAGUGGGUCCCUAGAUUAUGUCAAACUUACCUUCUUUUGGUCUAUCAGCCUGGUUUGUGGAUGCCACGCUACGUCAAUGGCAGUUAAUCUGCCUGAUUAACAAUUAUGUAUUUGACGCUGGGCUUAUCAGGAGUUUGAGAAAGAGUCAGACCUGAGCCAGCAGCAAUUUCAGCGUCAGUCACAAUUUCCUAUGGCGGGGUCUACUUGUUGGGCUCCCGGGUGUUUCCCAGUAGAAAUCGUAGCCUAAAGCGGUUUUCCCCUUCUCACCCGCUUAUUCACAACAUCUGUGUGUUCGCGAAUAACAGGUGAGCCCUACCACCUACAGUAUCGAGGAAUGAUUCGAGUCUUGAUCUCUCUCUAACAUCACCUUCUGGGUUAAUGUUACGAUGGAAUAUAUCCCACAAGGUCUAAGUCAUGUGAUUGGGUGUCGAUGAGAGCAUGAGUACUGUGUCGCAAUGGAGAGAAAACAGAAUGCCUACCUCACAAAGUGAGGAAUAGGAUAGAUACCGAGAG